GUGCUUGUCUUUCGCUGCCUGGAAAUGAGAAGCACACAUGCUGAAACAGGAAUGAUACAGAGAAGGUUACAUGGCCCCUGCACAAGGAUGAAACAGAAAGCAAAACUAAAUUCAG
rnacentral:snRNA from 1 species